rnacentral:lncRNA from 1 species
GUGCUUCGAUACUAAGGAUCUCCCAUUCAUCCACUAUGUAUUGUGCAGUCUUUUCAUGUUUAUCAACAAGUAACCCAUUAGUUAACUCAACUUCCGAGUCGCUAAAAUCAUUUGCCAAUGGAUUUUCCUGAACAAGUUGUUGUCUGUUAUUAUCUGCAGCAUUUGAGCUAUGUAUAGAAGUCAUAUCUUCUAUAUUGAAAUAUGAAUCCAAGUGUCGAAGUAAAUUUCGAUCAUGUUGUCAUUUGGGAUGUUUUUGCGAACAACAUGGGCUUCAUUAUCUGUAGACACCAACCUCUAUCUAUUACCAGAUCUUCCACAUCUAUGCCAAAAAGUUAUUGAAUUCUUUAAGUAUCCACAAAUCUCUGCCAUCUUGUUAAACUCAUCAAGUUCCAAUUUGUU